rnacentral:tRNA from 1 species
GGUCGGUUAGUUCAGUUGGUCAGAACGUCGUGCUAAUACCACUUAUCGUGUAACACGAAGGUCGUGGGUUCAAGCCCCAUACUGACCA